GCAGUCGCACGAGAAGGGACUUCGGUCCUGAGUACAGUGGCGCACGGGUGAGUAACACGUGAAUCAUCUACCUUCGAGUGGGGAAUAACUGAGAGAAAUCUUAGCUAAUACCGCAUAAUACCUACGGGUCAAAGCAGUAAUGCGCUUGAAGAGGAGUUCGCGGCAGAUUAGUUAGUUGGCAGGGUAAUGGCCUACCAAGACGAUGAUCUGUAUCCGGCCUGAGAGGGCGCACGGACACACUGGAACUGAGACACGGCCCAGACUCCUACGGGAGGCAGCAGUGGGGAAUAUUGCGCAAUGGGCGAAAGCCUGACGCAGCAACGCCGCGUGGAGGAUGAAGGCUUUCGGGUUGUAAACUCCUUUCAGCGGGGACGAAACUGACGGUACCUGCAGAAGAAGCCCCGGCUAACUACGUGCCAGCAGCCGCGGUAAUACGUAGGGGGCAAGCGUUGUCCGGAAUCACUGGGCGUAAAGCGUGCGUAGGCGGUUUGUUAAGUCUGGAGUGAAAGGCCAUGGCUCAACCAUGGGAAUGCUUUGGAAACUGGCAGACUUGAGUACUGGAGAGGCAAGGGGAAUUCCACGUGUAGCGGUGAAAUGCGUAGAGAUGUGGAGGAAUACCAGUGGCGAAGGCGCCUUGCUGGACAGUGACUGACGCUGA
rnacentral:rRNA from 1 species